UACGGGGGGAGCAAGCGUUGUUCGGAUUUACUGGGCGUAAAGGGCGCGUAGGCGGCGUGACUAGUCACUUGUGAAAUCUCCGGGCUUAACUCGGAGCGGUCAAGUGAUACUGUCGUGCUAGAGUGCGGAAGGGGCUACUGGAAUUCUCGGUGUAGCGGUGAAAUGCGUAGAUAUCGAGAGGAACACCUGCGGCGAAGGCGGGUAGCUGGGCCGACACUGACGCUGAUGCGCGAAAGCCAGGGGAGCGAACGGG
rnacentral:rRNA from 1 species